rnacentral:rRNA from 1 species
CUGAGCGAGCAUGCCGCGUGAACGAUGAAGGUCUUCGGAUCGUAAAGUUCUGUUGUUAGGGAAGAACAGGUUUGUGAGGAAAUGCGCAGGCCUUGACGGUACCUAACCAGAAAGCUCCGGCUAACUACGUGCCAGCAGCCGCGGUAAUACGUAGGGAGCGAGCGUUAUCCGGAAUUAUUGGGCGUAAAGCGUGCGUAGGCGGCUUCUUAAGUCGAACGUGAAAUGCCACGGCUUAACCGUGGAAGGUCGUUCGAAACUGGGUAGCUAGAGUACGGCAGAGGUUAGUGGAAUGCAAUGUGUAGCGGUAAAAUGCGUAGAUAUAUUGCGGAACACCAGUGGCGAAGGCGGCUAACUGGACCGGAACUGAC